GAUGAACGCUAGCGGCAGGCCUAACACAUGCAAGUCGAGGGGCAGCACAGAAAGUGGUAACACUUUUGGUGGCGACCGGCGGACGGGUGCGUAACGCGUAUGUAACCUACCUAUUACAGGGGGAUAACGGAUGGAAACGUCCACUAAUACCCCAUAACAUUUUCGAGGGCAUCCUUGGAGGUUGAAAACUCCGGUGGUAAUAGAUGGACAUGCGUUGUAUUAGAUAGUUGGUGAGGUAACGGCUCACCAAGUCGACGAUACAUAGGGGGACUGAAGGGUUAACCCCCCACACUGGUACUGAGACACGGACCAGACUCCUACGGGAGGCAGCAGUGAGGAAUAUUGGUCAAUGGGGGCAACCCUGAACCAGCCAUGCCGCGUGCAGGAAGACGGCUCUAUGAGUUGUAAACUGCUUUUAUACAGGGAUAAUUCACGGUAUGUAUACCGUGUUGAAGGUACUGUAAGAAUAAGGAUCGGCUAACUCCGUGCCAGCAGCCGCCGUAACAC
rnacentral:rRNA from 1 species